GACGAACGCUGGCGGCGUGCUUAACACAUGCAAGUCGAACGGACGAGUGAGAUAAGUUUACUUAACUCACAAGUUAGUGGCGGACGGGUGAGUAACACGUGGAUAAUCUACCUGCAACACCGGGAUAACGCUGUGAAAACGGUGCUAAUACCGGAUACGUUCCCUUGUGCGCAUGUAUGAGGGAAGAAAGCUCAGGCGGUUGCAGAUGAGUCCGCGGCUGAUUAGCUAGUUGGUGAGGUAAAGGCUCACCAAGGCGAUGAUCAGUAGCCGGCCUGAGAGGGUGAACGGCCACACUGGGACUGAGACACGGCCCAGACUCCUACGGGAGGCAGCAGUGGGGAAUCUUCCGCAAUGGGCGCAAGCCUGACGGAGCAACGCCGCGUGGGUGAAGAAGGCCUUCGGGUUGUAAAGCCCUGUCUUAUGGGAAGAAGUCAGUGACGGUACCAUAGGAGGAAGCCACGGCCAACUACGUGCCAGCAGCCGCGGUAAUAGUACUA
rnacentral:rRNA from 1 species